rfam:Dichomitus squalens LYAD-421 SS1 unplaced genomic scaffold DICSQscaffold_4, whole genome shotgun sequence.
CCUUCGAUAGCUCAGUUGGAAGAGCGUGGGACUGUAAUGGUUAACCGACUCAUCCCAAGGUCACUGGUUCGAUCCCGGUUCGAAGGA